rnacentral:rRNA from 1 species
GACGAACGCUGGCGGCGUGCUUAACACAUGCAAGUCGAACGGACAGGCCAUGCUUUUGUGGCGUGCUCGAUUGGCGAACGGGUGAGUAACACAUGAGUAACCCGCCCUUGUCUUUGUGAUAAAUUCAGGAAACUGGGGCUAAUAUCGCAUAGGAUCUCCUGCUGCAUGUUGGGGGUUGGAAAGUUUCGGCGGUUGUGGCUGGACUCGCGGCGUAUCAGCUUGUUGGUGGGGUUGUGGCUUACCAAGGCUUUGACGGGUAGCCGGCCUGAGAGGGUGACCGGCCACAUUGGGACUGAGAUACGGCCCAGACGCCGACGGGAGGCAGAAGGGGGGAAUAUUGCAGAAUGGGCGGAAGCCUGAUGCAGCAACGCCGCGUGCGGGAUGACGGCCUUCGGGUUGUAAACCGCUUUCGCCUGUGACGAAGCGUGAGUGACGGUAAUGGGUAAAGAAGCACCGGCUAACUACGUG